rnacentral:misc_RNA from 1 species
GUCGGUUGUUCCUUUCCAAUGUGCUGGUUCAUUUGGGUGCUCAUAAUUUGAAAAAAAAUUCAGUAAUGUUGCUGCAAAUUUUAGGAAAAUGUUGCAGACAAAAAAUGAUCUAUAUUGUGGAUCUUUUGAAUCAACCCAUCCUAUUCUCCUAUAUUCUUUGUACAUUAUGCUUGUUUCCGUGAUUAUACCACUUCUUUGUAAACUAUAGUUAUUUUUAAGAC